CAUUAGAUGACUGAAAGCAAGUACUGGUCUCUUAAACCACACUAUGGUAAUUUAGCACUUAUCUCUAAUGA
rnacentral:tRNA from 1 species